GAUGAACGCUAGCGAUAGGCCUAACACAUGCAAGUCGAGGGGCAGCAUAGAGUAGCAAUACUUUGAUGGCGACCGGCGCACGGGUGAGUAACACGUAUGCAACCUACCUACAUCAGGGGAAUAACCCGGAGAAAUUCGGACUAAUACCGCAUAAUACAGGGAUGCCGCAUGGCAAUACUUGUUAAAGAUUUAUCGGAUGUAGAUGGGCAUGCGUUCCAUUAGCUAGUUGGUAAGGUAACGGCUUACCAAGGCAACGAGGGAUAGGGGAACUGAGAGGUUUGUCCCCCACACUGGAAAUGAGACACGGACCAGACUCCUACGGGAGGCAGCAGUGAGGAAUAUUGGUCAAUGGACGAGAGUCUGAACCAGCCAAAUCGCGUGAAGGAAGACUGCCCUACGGGUUGUAAACUUCUUUUGUACAGGAAUAAAAGACAUUACGUGUAAUGUAUUGCAUGUACUGUACGAAUAAGCAUCGGCUAACUCCGUGCCAGCAGCCGCCGUAA
rnacentral:rRNA from 1 species